AUUGAACGCUGGCGGCAGGCCUAACACAUGCAAGUCGAACGGUAACAGGAAGCAGCUUGCUGCUUCGCUGACGAGUGGCGGACGGGUGAGUAAUGUCUGGGAAGCUGCCUGAUGGAGGGGGAUAACUACUGGAAACGGUAGCUAAUACCGCAUAAUGUCGCAAGACCAAAGAGGGGGACCUUCGGGCCUCUUGCCAUCGGAUGUGCCCAGAUGGGAUUAGCUUGUUGGUGGGGUAACGGCUCACCAAGGCGACGAUCCCUAGCUGGUCUGAGAGAAUGACCAGCCACACUGGAACUGAGACACGGUCCAGACUCCUACGGGAGGCAUCAGUGGGGAAUAUUGCACAAUGGGCGCAAGCCUGAUGCAGCCAUGCCGCGUGUAUGAAGAAGGCCUUCGGGUUGUAAAGUACUUUCAGCGGGGAGGAAGGGAGUAAAGUUAAUACCUUUGCUCAUUGACGUUACCCGCAGAAGAAGCACCGGCUAACUCCGUG
rnacentral:rRNA from 1 species